rnacentral:rRNA from 1 species
GUGAACGCUGGCGGUAGGCCUAACACAUGCCAGUCGCACGGCAGCACAGUAAGAGCUUGCUCUUACGGGUGGCGAGUGGCGGGCGGGUGAGGAAUACAUCGGAAUCUACUUUUUCGUGGGGGAUAACGUAGGGAAACUUACGCUAAUACCGCAUACGACCUACGGGUGAAAGCAGGGGAUCUUCGGACCUUGCGCGAUUGAAUGAGCCGAUGUCGGAUUAGCUAGUUGGCGGGGUAAAGGCCCACCAAGGCGACGAUCCGUAGCUGGUCUGAGAGGAUGAUCAGCCACACUGGAACUGAGACACGGUCCAGACUCCUACGGGAGGCAGCAGUGGGGAAUAUUGGACAAUGGGCGCAAGCCUGAUCCAGCCAUACCGCGUGGGUGAAGAAGGCCUUCGGGUUGUAAAGCCCUUUUGUUGGGAAAGAAAAGCAGCAGGUUAAUACCCCGCUGUUCUGACGGUACCCAAAGAAUAAGCACCGGCUAACUUCGUG